ACAAAACCUGAAGGCAAAGGAAAGUUGUACCAGGUUCAUGAAGGGAAAUCUUUGGAAAGGAAUUUUAUGGGUGGUAAAUAUGGACUAAGUUUGCCGUCUACGGAUUUUACUACACUGAUAUAAGUUUAAAAUCCUGUUUUCUUAUGUUUUGGAAAGACAAAGUUUUCUUGGAUUGUUGAUCUGCUCUUCAUAAGAAAAUCGAACACAUUCUUGGAACCACCACCUGGAUGAAGAAAUGGAAACUUACCGUGCUUCCUACCUCCUACUGACUCCCACCGAACGUCCCCCAAAGACUGCAGAUCAAAACCGCCAGUUGCAAGAGAGCCUGGAGGUGGUGGAGCAGAAGCUGCAACAGACCCUGAGGAAGGCUAAGACGCUGCGGGAGGUGGAAGCCAAGCGGGUCCAGAGGGUAGCCGCCCUCUGCAAUGUGGGGCCCGCCUUUCCUCCUGGGUUCCAUGAUGGGAAUGUCAUUUUCAUGGCGGUUACUUUUUGUAUCUUGAUUAUAACCGGUAACAUCGCCGAAACAAAAUCCGUUAACAAGGUGAGAUCUCUUUUCGGUAUUAUUUUGAGAUUGGAAUGCUUUUCAAAAGGCAGGCAUCAUCCCCAUUUUUUUCACCUCC